rnacentral:rRNA from 1 species
AUGCACGCUGGCGGCGUGCCUAAUACCUGCCAGUCGCGCGCACAAACGAGGAGCUUGCUCCUCUGACGUUAGCGGCGGACGGGUGAGUAACACGUGGAUAACCUACCUAUAAGACUGGGAUAACUUCGGGAAACCGGAGCUAAUACCGGAUAAUAUAUUGAACCGCAUGGUUCAAUAGUGAAAGACGGUUUUGCUGUCACUUAUAGAUGGAUCCGCGCCGCAUUAGCUAGUUGGUAAGGUAACGGCUUACCAAGGCAACGAUGCGUAGCCGACCUGAGAGGGUGAUCGGCCACACUGGAACUGAGACACGGUCCAGACUCCUACGGGAGGCAGCAGUAGGGAAUCUUCCGCAAUGGGCGAAAGCCUGACGGAGCAACGCCGCGUGAGUGAUGAAGGUCUUCGGAUCGUAAAACUCUGUUAUUAGGGAAGAACAAAUGUGUAAGUAACUAUGCACGUCUUGACGGUACCUAAUCAGAAAGCCACGGCUAACUACGUG